GUUUUCACUUUGGCAGCACGUAUACUAAAACUGGAACGAUAUAGAGAAGAUUAGCACAGCCCCUGCACAAGGAUGACGUGCAAACUCGUGAAGUGUUCCAUAUUUUG